rnacentral:rRNA from 1 species
AUUGAACGCUGGCGGCAUGCCUAACACAUGCAAGUCGAACGGCAGCAUGGUCUAGUUUACUAGACUGAUGGCGAGUGGCGGACGGGUGAGUAACGCGUAGGAAUAUGCCUUAAAGAGGGGGAUAACUUGGGGAAACUCAAGCUAAUACCGCGUAAUCUCUGAGGAGGAAAGCUGGGGACCUUCGGGCCUGGCGCUUUAAGAAUAGCCUGCGUACGAUUAGCUAGUUGGUGAGGUAAAGGCUCACCAAGGCGACGAUCGUUAGCUGGU